GGUGGUCCAGAAUCUGGUUCCACCAACAUGCGCUUCCAACCGCUAGCUCUGCACAAGGUGAAGGUUAUCUGGAGUCCUUCCACAGUGGCCUGCUGAAAAAUACCCCAAAGCGGGGGCAUUUUUGGUACACAAGCAUGAGGGAGAGGACACACCUUGCGGUUAUGGAGCACAACAAGAUUAUGGGACGGAAACCAACAAGGGACACAGAAAGGAGAUGUGCAGUACCAGCAAAUCUUCUGCAAGUGGACCAAACAGUUGGUGGUUAAGAAGCCCUACACCACCUUCGGCAGAGUCUUAUCCAGCUGGCCGUUCAUCGCAGACAGGACAAGCCCAUCGCCAUAUGCACAAAGAGUCUCAGCUUCCCCAGCCCACCAUUGCCAGUGUACCGAAGUCGGAUAAAGGACUAUGGCUGUGUUUACCUAGGCAGCCCAAUU